UAGAUUUUGGCCUGUCUACGGCAC
rnacentral:piRNA from 1 species